CUCUGAGGGAGGACAGCAAACCAAGAGAAGAGUCUGCAGCAGAAGAAUUUUUCAAAUGGAAUCCACCAACAGAAACGGUGUCGUUGCAUCCACUCAAGGUGGUCGUCUGCAGGAUGGAAUCUCACGGCAUUUGUCUCAAUGGAACGGUCUUCAAAUGGCCAUCCAAAACCAGUGGGGCGGCCGGGAUUCUCAUCAGAAGUCUCUUCAACUAGCCGCAGAUAUCUUCUCUUGGUUCUCAGAGUCCAAAGCACCACUUUGCGUGGAAGAUUUAGAAAAUUUGCUCCACGAAAGCAUGUUGCUUUCUUUCAACACGGAGAUAGAGGAUGGCAGCAUCGAACAGGUUGCAGAAGAAUUGAUGAUUAUGCAUGAAGACUGCCAGCAAGGAAACCACUGAUCACAGUAAGGAAAUCUAAAGUUCAUCCAACUUUUCCGGCAAAGGCUUAUAUAUCCUCAGUGCAGACAGCUUCCAGGUAUGAGAGUAAAAAUGAGAACGAGAUGGAGAUGGAGGACCUAACCAUUCCCUAUCGCAAGCAUACAUGGCAUUCAACAUGGAUCGAGUCCUUGCGGCAUGAACACAAAUCAAGUGGAUGACCCCAAUAAAUAUUGCAAGCUGAAGAUAGGAGGAAACUCUUGUAACUUCUUUAACAAUUAAAAAAUUUUAUCAUACAAGUAUUAUAAAUAUUAAAAAAGUUUUUUAAAAUCAUUAUCAAACAUAAUUUUAUACUACUUGUUUCCUCGAUUCUAGAUAGUGACUAAAGGAAUGACGUCGAAUUGCCGAAGACUUGUAAUUUGUGUUGAUGCCUGAUUUUCUAUGGCUUGUUUCCACAAUUCUAGACAGUGGUUUCUUUUGAUUCUAUAAAA